rnacentral:misc_RNA from 1 species
AUGCGAUAAGUAAUGUGAAUUGCAGAAUUCAGUGAAUCAUCGAAUCUUUGAACGCACCUUGCGCUCCUUGGCAUUCCGAGGAGCAUGCCUGUUUGAGUGUCGUCAAAUUCUCCUUACCCGUGCUGUCUGAUGUGGAUGGACAACCAAGGCGCGCGCCGCCUUUGGUCCAAUACACCUUCAAGACAGUGGGGCCCGGAUCGGUGGAGGAUGCAUUGCUGGCAGCUAACCCCUUUGCUUUGCUUUGCUUCUCUGAAAUGGAUCGGCGUUCACGGCUUCGUUGUCGGUAUGAUACACGUACAUGUUCUUACCUGCUUCCUACCCGUGCCAGCCUUGAACACAAACACGCUCUCACGAUUUGACCUCAAAUCAGGCAGGACUACCCGCUGAACUUAA